GCAUGGCACAAUGGGUCAGUGCACCUGACUGUUAACCAAAAGGUUGGUGGUUCAAGCCCACCCAGGGAUA